rnacentral:rRNA from 1 species
AUACGGAGGGUGCAAGCGUCAUUCGGAAUCACUGGGCGUAAAGGACGCGUAGGCGGGUUGGCAAGUCAGAUGUGAAAUCCUACAGCUUAACUGUAGAACUGCAUUUGAAACUGCUAACCUAGAGUAUGGGAGGGGGAGAUGGAAUUAGUGGUGUAGGGGUAAAAUCCGUAGAUAUCACUAGGAAUACCGAAAGCGAAGGCGAUCUCCUGGAACAUAACUGACGCUAAGGCGUGAAAGCGUGGGGAGCAAACAGGAUUAGAUACCCUAGUAGUCC